GGGCCGGGCUGCGGGGCUGCCUCCCGGGCCGUCUCCGGGAGCGGAGCCCGGUGUCCCCCGGACCCCUUUCCCUGCGGUAAUGCCCCCCGAGCCCCUGCCCCCCACGCGGCUGUACACCUCGGAGCGGGUGGUCGUGCUGGUGUCCUGCGUGCUCUCCUUCCUGGGCUCCAGCCUGCUGGUCUGCACCCAUGCCCUCUGGCCCGAGCUGCGGACCCGUCCCCGCCAGCUCCUGCUCUACCUCUCUCUGGCCGACCUCCUCUCGGCCCUCUCCUACUUCUACGGGGUGCUGCAGGACUUCGACAGGACCUCAUGGGACUGCGUGCUGCAAGGAGCCCUCUCCACCUUCUCCAACACCAGCUCCUUCUUCUGGACCAUGGCGGUCGCCCUCUACCUCUACAUCACCAUCGUCAGGGGCUCGCCCACGGGCACGGGCUUGCUCGUCUGCUUCCACGCCGUCAGCUGGGGAGUCCCCCUUGGCAUUACGGUGGCUGCUGUUGCUCUGAAGAAGAUUGGCUAUGACGCCUCCAACGUGUCUGUGGGCUGGUGUUGGGUCAACUUGGAUGCAGAGGACCGGCUCUUGUGGAUGCUGUUAACAGGGAAGGUUUGGGAGAUACUGGCCUAUGUGACUCUGCCGGUGCUCUACAUUCUCAUCAAGAAGCACAUCAACAGAGCGCAUGCCGCUCUCUCAGAGUAUCGCCCCAUUCUCUCAAGAACACCUGCAUUUCCACCCCGGACUUCCAUAGCAGAUAAGAAGUUGAUUCUCAUCCCUGUCAUCUUUAUCAUCCUCCGCAUCUGGAGCACUGUGCGAUUCAUUCUGACCCUCUGUAACUCCCCUGCAGUGCAAAAUUCAGUCCUGGUUGUCCUGCAUGGAAUCGGUAACACGUUCCAAGGAGGUGCCAACUGCAUUAUGUUUGUCCUCUGCACGCGGGUGGUCCGGACUCGGCUGUUCUCCUCCAUCUGCUGCUGCCACUACGAUGAGUUGGACUGGCCUUUGGGAAGAUCAAACACCCACUGGCAGCGCCCGGAGCCCCACAAGGACAGGGACGUGCCAGGCCCUGAGAGGACAAAACCCCUGCUUUCCAGCACCUGAGGGUGGGCUGCCUACACCUCAGUGCUGAUUUCUUCUUUCUUGGUAAAGAUCUCGUGUGCAGGAUCAUCCUGGAGUCCCACAGAGGGAGCUAAAGCCUGGGGGAAAGCACCGCUGGAGCGGCUGAGCAAGCAGAAGAGGUCCCGCUCCUCCUCGGCGACUGGUCUUGGACUUCGCUCAGGAUCCUCUGGAAGAUACUGUUUGGCCGUACUCCAACUGCCUGGUUUUCGUCCCUCCUUCCCCUCUCCCUCCACUAUAAAUCUGAAAAAUUGUUUGGGGUUUUGCUUUUCUGUCUGACAAGGCAAAUGUGUUGUGAGUUCUGGGGUGAACAAAUAUCAUGGCGAUAGGAAAACUUUAGUAACUGCUCAACAGGACUACUGUCCUGGGCAUGGAUUCCUGUCCUAUGUGCAAGGUCUUCCAGGGAGCUCCGGGGUGGCUCCUGUUCUUCACUUGAAUGUGGACAAUAGUGUGCAAACGUGCUUGGUUUUGUGGUGGUGAUGGAUGGUUCCUCUUGAUGGUUUAGUCCUCCUCCUUGGUGGUUGGGGGUUGUCGCCAUCAGGGUUUGUGGUGGCAGCGUGCUUACUGCCUCCUGGGGAAAUCUGGACUCUGCAGAACCCCCUUGGUGCUCAGGGAUGGCUGGAUGUAACUGCCCCAGCCUCCAGCAAGGACACCCCUCACCAGCAGCAAGAUGGUGCCUGGCGUGUGCUCUGAACUCCAGAUGUCCUCUGCUCCAGCACAGGCUGCCGUCUGCUCCUGCUUUGGGAGGGUCACAUCAGAGCUGGGGAGGGAAUGGGUGUUGUUUGCUAUUUGGAGAUAGUGUUUUACUUUAUUUACAGCUCCUCGCUUGGUUUUUUUAAACAUUUUUCUCCAACUUUUACAAAAUAAAGUUUUGUUUCUUUACCAAGA